rnacentral:rRNA from 1 species
AUGGUUGCGUUAUCCAACUGUUAUAUUGGCACAUAUCAUGUCUCCGCCACUGUCACGACCCCCGCGGGCAGCGACCCGUGGUGGAUCACGGGCGUUUACGGCCCUCAAGACGACGCCAACAAGCUUGAGUUCCUUGCCGAGCUGCAUGACCUCCACUCGUCCUUCUCAGGGCCUUGGAUUAUCGGAGGCGACUUUAACAUGAUAAUCUCAAUGGCGGACAAGAGCAAUAAUCGCGUGAAUCGCGGCAUGAUGAAUCGCUUCCGCCGCCUUAUUUCCGAUCUUGCCCUACGAGACAUCUACCUCCUUGGGAGGCGGUACACCUGGUCCAACAAGCAGGUGAAUCCCACGCUCGUCCGGAACGACAGAAUCCUCUCCACUCCGUCCUGGGAGUUGCUCUACCCGCGUUGCAUCUUGCGCUGCCUGGCCUCGACGGUCUCAGACCACAACCCGCUCCUUCUCGACUGCUCGCCUCACACCCCGACCAAACGUCGGUUCGACUUUGAGCGUUUUUGGAUCAAUCUGGACGGGUUUCAUCAAGUCGUUGAGGAGGCAUGGCACUCGGUAGCUCCGGACCCCGCCCCAUCAGAACAAUCUACCAGCGCCUAA